rfam:Glossina morsitans morsitans, isolate Yale, WGS project CCAG01000000 data, contig: ctg10021785
AGGUCCCACCAUAGGAAGCGUGCUAACAACAACCAGCCUCCGCGAAGUAAUAUCUAACAGUGUUCCCGCCGGCGAGAGUGGUGAAGAAAGCGUGUGUGGGGGUAGUUUUUAGUACGUAGGCGCCAUGGAUGGCGAAUCGUGCAUGCUGCUAGCGAGAACCAGUAUCUCUUGAAGAUUUUCUACCCCCUGCUC